rnacentral:rRNA from 1 species
UACGUAGGGUGCGAGCGUUGUCCGGAAUUACUGGGCGUAAAGAGCUCGUAGGUGGUUUGUCACGUCGUCUGUGAAAUUCCGGGGCUUAACCUCGGGCGUGCAGGCGAUACGGGCAAUACUUGAGUGCUGUAGGGGAGACUGGAAUUCCUGGUGUAGCGGUGAAAUGCGCAGAUAUCAGGAGGAACACCAAUGGCGAAGGCAGGUCUCUGGGCAGUUACUGACGCUGAGGAGCGAAAGCUGGGGUAGCGAACCGGAUUAGAUACCCCUGUA